ACACACUACAGACAGGAUGCCUUUUAUGAAGAGCUUCACUCAAAUAUUGCGAAAUAAAAUGGAAAAAAUAAAUAAAUAAAUAAGGAGAAGUGAACAAUUAAUUGAACCUGGAGAUAUGCAUAGACAUCUGCUUCACUUACUCCUGCACCCUCCUGUUCUUUUGUCAUCAUACCUUCAUAUAAUUUUUCCUGAAAACAUAAAGAAUAAUAUAGAUGUUAAAGUUUUGCUUAGGAUUUCCCAAACAAUCAUAAGCGCUAGGGUUGUUUUCCCCUGUAUUUGACAUUAUGACCCUUCUCUAAUUAUCUGAAUAUUUAACUAAUAUGGUGAAUGCAACUCCAAUUUUUUGUAUAUAGAACCAUAGGUGAAAAAAUCGUUCUUGCCGACCGGAUAUUCGCGAUAUUUUCCGUUUUUUUGGAGAUCGGCACGGUACGGCAUACGGCAUAUAAACGGAUAUUAAAACACCCCAUGCCGGUCGGCAUUUAUCGGAUAUUCGCGGCAUAAUUCGGCAAAACCCGAUAUUUAUCGAAAUUUAUCGAAACAGAUUACAUUACUCGUUGUGAAGGUCUUGAUCUAUUAAUAAAAGCAGUACUUCAUGUUGCAGGAUCUGUAUUAGUUGUUCCAUUUACUCAAAGAAGAGUGAUUAGAAGAAGAAAAAGAGCUUGUAAGUUUACUAAAAUUGAGUUCAACAUCAAGAAACAACAAGAAGAUGAAGAGAUUGAAGAAGAAGAUGAAGAAGAGAAAGAUGAAAAUGAAGAAAUUGACGUGAUUUUGAAUGGUAACAAGAGAAAAAGAGAGAUGUCUUUCCCUUUAAAGUACCAUGAUCAAGAACCUCAAACAAAAAACAAUAAUCUACAAUCAAUUUUCUAAUUUUCUGAAGUUAGUUGAUGCCGAGAUGUAACAAAUGAACGUACAAAACAGACGUAAUUAAUGUUUCGAGGUGCUUUAGAUUACCAAAUUUGUUUCACAGGCAAACAAUCCUUUCCCAAAGCUCUCACCAUGAUAUUACCCCAUAUAAACAAAACCUCUUUGGCGGAAAACCAGAUUCACACUCGAGUUGAAAAGGGAUAAGCAACUUUUCCCAGUUUUUCUUAUAAAGGUAAUGUGCCGCUCCAUUUUCUCAUCAAUUUGAGAAGAACAAAAUAUGUCAAAAGUAAAUAACUAUGAACAAGGAAAAACAAUCACCUGAUACUCUAAAAAUAGUGGCUCGUUGGAUGUGUUAUUUUAUACAUUAUUCGUCAGAGAAAGCAAAUCUUUCU
rnacentral:lncRNA from 1 species